GGUGUUGUGGCUCAGAGGUAGAGCACUCACCUAGCAUGUGUGAGGCCCUGGGUUCAAUCCUCAACACCAUGU
rnacentral:tRNA from 1 species